UCUCUGCUUGGAUUCUGGACCACCAC
rnacentral:piRNA from 2 species